UACUAUAGAUUUCAGAAAUCUAACCACGC
rnacentral:piRNA from 1 species